UACGUAGGCAGCGAGCGUUGUUCGGAGUUACUGGGCGUAAAGGGUGUGUAGGCGGUUGCUUAAGUUUGGUGUGAAAUCUCCCGGCUCAACUGGGAGGGUGCGCCGAAUACUGAGUGACUAGAGUGCGGGAGGGGAAAGUGGAAUUCCUGGUGUAGCGGUGAAAUGCGUAGAUAUCAGGAGGAACACCGGUGGUGUAGACGGCUUUCUGGACCGUAACUGACGCUGAAACACGAAAGCGUGGGUAGCAAACAGG
rnacentral:rRNA from 1 species